GGCAGCGGCCGCAUCUCGACGUCCUGCCUGUGCGUGAGGACACCAUAUUUCCGAACCAGCUGGGCACGCGUCUUACUUAAUCUGUCAUGAAUAACACAAGACCAUUAAAUUAUUAAUCCAUCAUACACCAGAGAUAUCUGCCAUGACAAGAAUGCUUAGUCCCACGAAGACUAAGAAACCACGUACAAGAGCACCAGUAUUGAAGGACGUGUGGCCCUCGCUGGACUGUUGCAUCAAAAUGAUAACAAUAAUAGUGACAUGAGAAGAAAUCCAAACAGCAAUACAAAAAUCAAGUUGCUUAAAAACACAAAUCAAUUUUAGCCAAAAUUGAGAUGUGAGGAAGUCAUGUAUCUACUUCCCCUGAUCCUAAAACCUCUAAUAUCUCAGUUUUGAUAAAAACUGACUCAAAGUUAUUUUUUUAUUGAUUGAUUCAAUUUUAUGUAUGAGGCACUAUAUUCACAGGCUUAAAUACAUUAAUUAAUUUUUUGAUUGGCCAAAAUUUUAAAUGAAAAAUCUAUUAUUAUGUGAAUUAAAAUUCACAGAUAUUCUUCAUGUACAUAAUAUAGAGCAUUAAAUACUAAUCUGUCAAUAUUAUAUCUAUAUAUAUUUUCUACCAAUGCAAUCAUAUUUAAUUGAUUAUUAAUUGGUAUUAACAGAAUAUGUAUUCUGACAUUAUCUGCUACAGCUAUACAGCAUAUUAUUGCACUUUGUAAUUAAAAUCUACUACUUUAGUAUAAUGAAGGAAAUUAUGCUAAAGUUUUUUUCCUUAAAUACUGAUAAAGUGGUAAACAAGAAUUUCAACUAAUAACAGGAGUCAAUAUUAAUUUCUACUUGUUGACCUUAUGACGUACUCACCUUAAUAGCAAUUACAUAUACAAAAGAGUAGCCUUUUUUUAUCCUGAUUUAAAACGAA